AUUUGACGCUCGGCUUCUAUACAUGCAGUCGAGCGGACAGAUGGGAGCUUGCUCCCUGAUGUUAGCGGCGGACGGUGAUAACACGUGGUAACCUGCCUGUAAGACUGGAUAACUCCGGAAACCGGGGCUAAUACCGGAUGGUUGUCUGAACCGCAUGGUUCAAACAUAAAAGGUGGCUUCGGCUACCACUUACAGAUGGACCCGCGGCNCAUUACUAGUUGGUGAGGUAACGCUCACCAAGCGACGAUGCGUAGCCGACCUGAGAGGGUGAUCGCCACCUGGGACUGAGACACGGCCACACUCCUACGGGAGGCAGCAAGUGGGGA
rnacentral:rRNA from 2 species